AUUAUUUUGGCAGAUUAGUGCAAUGAAUUUAGAAUUCAUAUAAAUAUAUUUAUGUAUAUAAAUAAUA
rnacentral:tRNA from 1 species